rnacentral:rRNA from 1 species
UACGGGGGGUGCGAGCGUUGUCCGGAAUCACUGGGCGUAAAGGGCGCGUAGGUGGCCUGAUAAGGGUGUGGUGAAAGUCCGGGGCUCAACCCCGGAUCGGCCGUGGCGACUCGUGGGCUGGAGCACUGUAGAGGCGGGUGGAAUUCCGGGUGUAGCGGUGGAAUGCGUAGAGAUCCGGAAGAACACCAGUGGCGAAGGCGGCCCGCUGGGCAGUGGCUGACGCUGAGGCGCGACAGCGUGGGGAGCAAACAGG